UAUGCCUUCCUCUUCUUAGAUUUUACUACAGAAUCAAAAGUGAGUUUUGCUCUGAGCUGCACCGAUGAUGCCUUGGAGGAGGAAGAGUACAGCAGCCUUUGGUCCACAGCCUUCUCCUUCGUAAUCCUCUUCAUAUCCUCUCUUCUCUAUAGCAUGAUAUUCAGCCUGGUCAAGAUGAAGAGAACAUAAAGGAUGAGAUGGAUGCACAGCAUGAUGACGACAGGUCUUCACUUGUUUUUUGACUUUUUUAUCUAAUUUUAAAAACCUUGUACAUAAUCGAUAAUCUACCGUAUAUUUGCCAAAUAAAAUGGUCGUCAUAUAUGAUGAUUAAGUCAUUGAAAAUGGAUUUCUCUGUAACCUGUAGAAAAAAUAAUAAAUACAAUUGCAAUUCUUAA